UAGGGAAUCUUCCGCAAUGGACGAAAGUCUGACGGAGCGACGCCGCGUGAGCGAAGAAGGUCUUCGGAUCGUAAAGCUCUGUUGUUAGGGAAGAAGAAGUGCCGUUCGAACAGGGCGGCGCGGUGACGGUACCUAACGAGAACGCCCCGGCUAACUACGUGCCAGCAGCCGCGGUAAUACGUAGGGGGCGAGCGUUGUCCGGAAUUAUUGGGCGUAAAGCGCGCGCAGGCGGGCCCUUAAGUCGGAUGUGAAAGCCCACGGCUUAACCGUGGAGGGUCAUUGGAAACUUGGGGGCUUGAGUGCAGAAGAAGAGAGCGGAAUUCCACGUGGAGCGGUGAAAUGCGUAGAGAUGUGGAGGAACACCAGUGGCGAAGGCGGCUCUCUGGUCUGUAACUGACGCUGAGGCGCGAAAGCGUGGUGAGCAAACAGG
rnacentral:rRNA from 1 species